rnacentral:rRNA from 1 species
AUCGGGGUAGGNUANNGCCAUGCGAGUCGCGCGCCCGGGGGCGCCCGGGAGCGGCGCACGGCUCAGUAACANGUGCCCAACCUACCCUCGGGAGGGGGACACCCCCGGGAAACUGGGGCCAAUCCCCCAUAGGGGAAGGGCGCUGGAAGGCCCCUUCCCCCAAAGGGGCGGCGGCCGAUCCGCCGCCGCCCGCCCGAGGAUGGGGGCACGGCCCAUCAGGUAGUUGGCGGGUUAAAGGCCCGCCAAGCCNAAGACGGGUAGGGGCGGUGAGAGCCGNGAGCCCCGAGAUCGGCACUGANACAAGGGCCGAGGCCCUACGGGGKGCAGCAGGCGCGAAUACUCCGCAAUGCGGGMAACCGCGACGGGGYUACCCCGAGUGCCGGGCGAAGAGCCCGGUUUUUGCCCGGUCUAAAAAGCCGGGNGAAUAAGCGGGGGGCAAGUCUGGUGUCAGCCGCCGCGGUAAWACCAGCAACA